UUUGCCUGGGGCAAAAUGCAUAGACAUACAUCAGAUGUGUUUUUUGUUUAAAUUGGCUUGUAUAUCAGUGUGACUGUGCAGGGAGGAAGCUUUUAAAGGUAGUACUGNAUUUGUUUCUUAAAAAGAGCCUUAAUCAAGCCUUCCAUUUAAAGUUAUACAAGAUGCCAUGGAAGGCUAAUUAAUAGUAUGACCGAAAGAACUGGAAUUAGUAAGAAUAACAAAAAUCAUACAGGAAGAUUUCACAAUGGGGUUUUUGCCUGACUGGAUGGUUGAUUCUGAUCUAUCUGUAAUCCAUUUUAAGUAUAAACUGAAUUAUGCAAAAUAAGAUUCUGAUCUUACAGCUCUUAUGCACGCCACACAGCUCUGCGUGUCUCUUUCGUGAAUCUCACAAAAGAAGCUGGAAAACACAAUCUAAUGAAAAUACAAAAGAGAAACACAGCAGCAGCAUAUUAUGGAUCUUCUGCAUGCCAAGGAGUAGGUGGACUGUUUGAACCCAGUCAACACUUUAGUGGAUGUUAAGCUGUGGAUGAUAAGUGGAUGAUAAGCUGAAUGCAAUGGG
rnacentral:lncRNA from 1 species